AUUGAACGCUGGCGGCAUGCCUUACACAUGCAAGUCGAACGGCAGCACGGGUGCUUGCACCUGGUGGCGAGUGGCGAACGGGUGAGUAAUACAUCGGAACGUACCUUAUCGUGGGGGGUAACGCAGCGAAAGCUGUGCUAAUACCGCAUACGCCCUGAGGGGGAAAGCGGGGGAUCGCAAGCCUCCGCGCGAUUAGAGCGGCCGAUGCCUGAUUAGCUAGUUGGUGGGGUAAAAGCCCACCAAGGCGACGAUCAGUAGCUGGUCUGAGAGGACGAUCAGCCACACUGGGACUGAGACACGGCCCAGACUCCUACGGGAGGCAGCAGUGGGGAAUUUUGGACAAUGGGGGCAACCCUGAUCCAGCAAUGCCGCGUGAGUGAAGAAGGCCUUCGGGUUGUAAAGCUCUUUUGUCAGGGAAGAAACACCGGCUCUAACACAGUCCGGGAGUGACGGUACCUGAAGAAUAAGCACCGGCUAACUACGUGCCAGCCGCCGCAGUAA
rnacentral:rRNA from 1 species